GCCCAGACUCCUACGGGAGGCAGCAGUGGGGAAUAUUGCACAAUGGGGGGAACCCUGAUGUAGCGACGCCGCGUGAAGGAAGAAGUAUCUCGGUACGUAAAGCUCUAUCAGCAGGGAAGAAAAAAAGUCCUUUGGACUUUGGACGGUACCUGACUAAGAAGCCCCGGCUAACUACGUGCCAGCAGCCGCGGUAAUACGUAGGGGGCAAGCGUUAUCCGGAUUUACUGGGUGUAAAGGGAGCGUAGACGGCAGCGCAAGUCUGGAGUGAAAUGCCGGGGCCCAACCCCGGAACUGCUUUGGAAACUGUGCAGCUGGAGUGCAGGAGAGGGAAGCGGAAUUCCUAGUGUAGCGGUGAAAUGCGUAGAUAUUAGGAGGAACACCAGUGGCGAAGGCGGCGUACUGGACUGUAACUGACGUUGAGGCUCGAAAGCGUGGGGAGCAAACAGGAUUAGAUACCCCAGUAGAC
rnacentral:rRNA from 1 species